AGGCCAGAAGGAACAUAACAUGGCCUGGUGGGGAAGCCCUCACCAGGUGUCCACAACCCGGCAGCACCUGGCACUCUGUUCCGCCGGGUAUAUGAGGAGGCAAGCCCCAACCAGUGCCACACUUCGACAUGGAGCGACGCACCCUGCUGAUUGUCCUGCUAGUGUGCAGCUUCCUGCUGCUGGCUGUCACCGCCAAGGCCUCACCUUGGAGAGGUAGCCGCUUCGGCAGACCGCCGUUUGGCGGCAGACCGCCGUUUGGCGGCAGACCGCCGUUUGGCGGCAGACCGCCGUUUGGCGGAUCAGGUUGUGUAUGUUUCAAGGCACCGUGUCCUUGUUCCUACGGCUAACCCGACCAGCGAACUCUGCUUCUGACAAUGCUCCCUCGCGCCACACGACACUCGCCAUGGACGGAAAGCGCUGACUCUUGCUUACUUGAAUGAACUGAUAAAUUAACGGAGAAUUUUGUUUGGCACUUAGUGGUAAAUAAAGUAUUAGCAAUC